GUUUUAUGUCUGUGCAAAACUUGCGUCCAUUAGGCUUAUUUAUUCUAGAGGGUUGCUAGGGUGUUGCUAAGUAGCUUAUGGGAUGUUCUGCAUGAUUUGUAGGUGGUUGUUAUGGAACGGUUGUUAUGGCAUCAGUGUUAGUUUAGUAUCAUCUAUAUACUAUUCAUAUUUUUAAUCCCUUUUUUAAGUGUAAGUUUUUUUUUUUCAGUUACAUUUUUUAGUAAUUUUGUGAUGUAGGCCUACUGUUAUUUAUUUAUUUACUAUUUAGGUUUAGUUUACUUUUUGUUCAGUUUUAAUUUCAGGUUAGGUUUUUAGUGCUUCAACUUAAACAUAUUUAAGUUAGUUGCCAAGGCAACAUUUAUCAUUUUUAAAUUUUAAUUACAUUUUUAGUAAUUUUGUUACAUGCUUUUGUCAUUUUUAUUUAUUUCUUUAUUUAUUUUUCCCAAAUAUUGCUAUUUAGGUUUGAUUUACUUUUAGUAUAUCAAUAUUUUUAAUUUCCAAUUAGUGCUUAUUUCAAAUACAGUAGCUUCGAAGGCAACAUUUUUCAUCUAAUAUUUUAUUAUACUUCAUGCUAAUUGGCAAAAUAUUUUAAAUAGUUUUUAUUGUAGGUAAUGAUUGUAACUCUGUAUGGAAAACGAUUGCUCAUGGAUUUCUGGGUAGUUGCUACUGUAUGUAGUUUCUAGGAUUACAUUUUUGCUUAAGAAUUCUGAAAGUAUUAAUGUAUUGCUAUGCAUUUAAUCGGGUUUUGAGGGUAGCUAGAUUUCAAGGGUGUUCUAGGUUGUUCAUUCCUAUAGCAGGAGGAUUAUAGAGUAGCUGUGUGAUUUGAGAAAUGCACAAGCUCAACUUUAAUACUCAGUGCUAAAGAUUUGUUUCAUGUACUAGAGAUGUUUGCAUUAGAAAACACAACCAAUUAGAGGAUGAAUGGAAUGGACAGAAUGAGAGAGAGGUUAAAACGAGAGGACAUUGAUGCAAGGUUUAAUAGCUGCAAGUCAGUCUUCGAUUCUGUUACACACAUACACACACAUUCAUCCCGCCUUCCUGCUGUGCAUCUCAUCCUUUCCCAUCCUCCCUUCUCUCUCUUUCUCUCUCUCUCUCGUGUCACGUGUGCAGGUCUGUGAAUCGCAGCAGCAGCUUUGUGCAUCUCUUUCUGUGUGAGCGAGAGAGAGGCUCAGGGCUGCACUCCUCCAAGGGCUUCUCGUACUCUCUUUAUUCACACACGCGCAUCCCGUGCAUCCAGACAGGGAGCUUUCACCGUCCCAGACACACCGUCUGCUGUGACUUCUGUCUGGGAGAGCUGGACGGAGAGCUGGGAUUUUACCCAGGAUCCUUCCGUGAUUUGCAACAGCAUGCACCCGCCGAGCCAGACUUCAUCCCAAGGUUGAGCGGAGCGCUGCAGCAGGCGACGAGGGAGGAAUGGAUCACAGAGAGAGCAGGACGUGGAACUGAGGGCUCGCGUUGUGCGUUUGCAUCGUCGUCGGAGGAUGCUUUGGGCAUCACUGCAGGACGUUUAAGAGUACGGCGGAUGAUAGUGGAUAGAUUUUGCAUGCUGUCGGAGAGGGCUGUGAUUCAGAGACAUGAGGCCUUUUCUGAAGAACACCCUUGAAUAUUUCCCUCACUGAGGAUGUGCAACGAUUUCUGCCUGGCACAACCGCAUCUGAGGUCACUUCUUCUCUAGACCCUCUAUUAUAACUCAGGGUUGACUUUCAAAACUCGUAAGUGUCUGUGUACUUCGCUGGAUUUGAGACCAAUCUUGCUUUACUGUGUCUGGAGUGCAAAA
ensembl:lncRNA